rnacentral:rRNA from 1 species
GGUUAGCUUAGAAGCAGCUAUCCUUUAAAGAGUGCGUAACAGCUCACCAGUCGAGAUUCAGGGCCCCGAAAAUGGACGGGGCUAAGCCGAUUACCGAUACCACGGAGCACCGCAAGGUGAUCUAGUAGGGAGGCGCUCUGCGUGGGCAGAAGCAUCUGCGUGAGCAGGUGUGGACCGCGUAGAGACGAAAAUCCUGGUAGCAGUAGCAGCAAAGUCGGGUGAGAAUCCCGAUCGCCGUAAGGGCCAGGGUUCCUCGGCAAUGUUCGUCAGCCGAGGGUCAGUCGGUCCUAAGACGUACCUUAAUCGGAGUACGCCAAAUGGGAAACAGGUUAAUAUUCCUGUACCUUUCAACAUUAAAACUGACGCUUCCGGAUAUGUCAAGCGUCCUUGCCUGGGCGUUCAAUCGUAUAAUCCUGUGGAGAGCCGUAAUGGCGAGAACCAGGAGAAAGCGUGAUGACGUAAGUUGGCAAAUUCCAGGAGUCCGUGAAAAGGGAGUUGAAAGUCCGUACCGAGAUCCAACACUGGUGCCCCAAGCUGAGAAGGCUAAGGCGUGUCGGCAUAUGCUAGCUAAGGGAAUUCGGCAAAAUAGCCACGUAACUUCGGGAUAAGUGGUGCCUGCUUUGCAAAAAGCAGGUCGCAGCGACGAGGGGACUCUAACUGUCUAAUAACAACAUAGGUGAUUGCGAAUCCGUAAGGACUAGUACAAUCACUGAAUCCUGCCCAGUGCAGGUACCUGAAAACCCGGUUCAACGGGAAGAAGGGCCUGUCAACGGCGGGGGUAACUAUGACCCUCUUAAGGUAGCGUAGUACCUUGCCGCUUAAUUGGCGGCUUGCAUGAAUGGAUCAAUGAGAGUCCCACUGUCCCUAGCUGGUACCCGGUGAACCUUACGUUCCAGUGCAGAGUCUGGAGACCCCUAAUGGGAAGUGAAGACCCCGUGGAGCUUUACUGCAGCCUGCCGUUGGGUUGUGGUUUUGAUUGUAGAGCAUAGGUAGGAGACGUCGAAGCUCGGGCGCCAGUCCGAGUGGAGUCGCCCUUGGAAUACUACCCUUUCGAAGCUACCGCCCUAACUCUGAGAAGAGGACCUCGGUAGGUGGGCAGUUUGGGUGGGGCGCCACGCCCUUGAAAAGAUAUCAAGGGCGCCCUAAGGUUGACUCAGUUGGGUCGGAAACCCAACAAAGAGUGUAAAGGCAUAAGUCAGCCUGAUGUUACCUCGCAUAGCAAGAGGUGAUAAGACGAAAGUCAGGCUUAGCGAACCUCUCAGCUCUCUUGGUGAGAGCGUUAGAUGACAGAAAAGCUACCCCGGGGAUAACAGAGUCGUCACCGGCAAGAGCACAUAUCGACCCGGUGGCUUGCUACCUCGAUGUCGGUUCUUUCCAUCCUGGCCGUGCAGCAGCGGCCAAGGGUGAGGUUGUUCGCCUAUUAAAGGAGAUCGUGAGCUGGGUUUAGACCGUCGUGAGACAGGUCGGUUACUAUCUGUUAGGGGUGUAUUGCGGUCUGAGGGCAGGUUGGUUUUAGUACGAGAGGAACAAGCCAACGGCACCUCUGGUCUAUCGGCUGUCUGGCAAGGCACGCCGAGCAGCUACGUGCUCGCGGAUAAGGGCUGAAAGCAUCUAAGCCCGAAACCGUCCCUGAAAAGAGACCGCUUAGAGUACUCGU